AGGCGACGACGGGUAGCCGGCCUGAGAGGGCGACCGGCCACACUGGGACUGAGACACGGCCCAGACUCCUACGGGAGGCAGCAGUGGGGAAUAUUGCACAAUGGGCGAAAGCCUGAUGCAGCGACGCCGCGUGAGGGAUGACGGCCUUCGGGUUGUAAACCUCUUUCAGCAGGGAAGAAGCGCAAGUGACGGUACCUGCAGAAGAAGCACCGGCUAACUACGUGCCAGCAGCCGCGGUAAUACGUAGGGUGCGAGCGUUGUCCGGAAUUAUUGGGCGUAAAGAGCUCGUAGGCGGCUUGUCACGUCGGGUGUGAAAGCCCGGGGCUUAACCCCGGGUCUGCAUUCGAUACGGGCAGGCUUGAGUGUGGUAGGGGAGAUCGGAAUUCCUGGUGUAGCGGUGAAAUGCGCAGAUAUCAGGAGGAACACCGGUGGCGAAGGCGGAUCUCUGGGCCAUUACUGACGCUGAGGAGCGAAAGCGUGGGGAGCGAACAGGAUUAGAUACCCUGGUAGU
rnacentral:rRNA from 1 species